AACGAACGCUGGCGGCAUGCCUAACACAUGCAAGUCGAACGAGACCUUCGGGUCUAGUGGCGCACGGGUGCGUAACGCGUGGGAAUCUGCCCUUGGGUUCGGAAUAACUCAGAGAAAUUUGAGCUAAUACCGGAUGAUGACGUAAGUCCAAAGAUUUAUCGCCCAAGGAUGAGCCCGCGUAAGAUUAGCUUGUUGGUAGGGUAAUGGCCUACCAAGGCGACGAUCUUUAGCUGGUCUGAGAGGAUGAUCAGCCACACUGGGACUGAGACACGGCCCAGACUCCUACGGGAGGCAGCAGUGGGGAAUAUUGGACAAUGGGCGAAAGCCUGAUCCAGCAAUGCCGCGUGAGUGAUGAAGGCCUUAGGGUUGUAAAGCUCUUUUACCAGGGAUGAUAAUGACUAGUACCUGGAGAAUAAGCUCCGGCUAACUCCGUGCCAGCAGCCGACGGUAAACGUAGCGUG
rnacentral:rRNA from 1 species